rnacentral:misc_RNA from 1 species
UCCGGCUUGUCGCCGGCAGUCUCCUUAGAGUCCCCACCAUUACGUGCUGGCAACUAAGGACGAGGGUUGCGCUCGUUGCGGGACUUAACCCAACACCUCACGGCACGAGCUGACGACAGCCAUGCAUCACCUGUGUAGGGCCCUUACGGACACCGUGUUUCCACGGCUUUUCCCUGCAUGUCAAGCCCAGGUAAGGUUCUUCGCGUUGCAUCGAAUUAAGCCACAUGCUCCGCCGCUUGUGCGGGUCCCCGUCAAUUCCUUUGAGUUUUAGCCUUGCGGCCGUACUCCCCAGGCGGGGUGCUUAAUGCGUUAGCUCCGGCACGGAAUCCGUCGAUAGGACCCCACACCUAGCACCCAUCGUUUACGGCGUGGACUAC